CCUCCCAUCCGUGUCUAUCUGUACCCUGUUGCUUCGGCGUGGCCACGGCCCGCCGAAGACUAACAUUUGAACACUGUCUGAAGUUUGCAGUCUGAGUUUUUAGUUAAACAAUAAUUAAAACUUUCAACAACGGAUCUCUUGGUUCCGGCAUCGAUGAAGAACGCAGCGAAAUGCGAUAAUUAAUGUGAAUUGCAGAAUUCAGUGAAUCAUCGAGUCUUUGAACGCACAUUGCGCCCCCUGGUAUUCCGGGGGGCAUGCCUGUCCGAGCGUCAUUGCUGCCCUCAAGCACGGCUUGUGUGUUGGGCUUCCGUCCCUGGUAACGGGGACGGGCCCAAAAGGCAGUGGCGGCACCAUGUCUGGUCCUCGAGCGUAUGGGGCUUUGUCACCCGCUCCCGUAGGUCCAGCUGGCAGCUAGCCUCGCAACCAAUCUUUUUAACCAGGUUGACCUCGGAUCAGGUAGGGAUACCCGCUGAACUUAAGCAUAUC
rnacentral:rRNA from 1 species